UGUCUCAUGGUCAACCUGACCUUUUAUUGGAAUUUUUUUUCCCAUUUUUAAUUUAUUUUGGAUUUAUUUUUGACCUAGUUUGCUUGGUUGACUUUUCAUUUGACUUCUGUUUUAUUUCAAUUAAUUUAUACACUAAUUCUCAUUAUUUUUGAAAUCUUUUUGAGGGAUGAUGAUGUCCUGACGCCACCUUACUUAGUUUAAUUUUUCAUAAUUUUAUUGAUUAAUUCACUAUUUAUUUGAUAUUUUUGAAGUUGACUUGACUUUUCAGUUGACUUUUCUAUGAUUG
rnacentral:lncRNA from 1 species